rnacentral:rRNA from 1 species
AGCGAACGCUGGCGGCAGGCCUAACACAUGCCAGUCGAACGGGCACUUUCGGGUGUCUGCCGCGGACGGGUGAGUAGCGCGUGAGAACGUGCCCUCUGGUUGGGAAUUACUCAGGGAAACUUGAGAUAAUACCGGAAACUCCCCUUUGGGGAGAGGCUUGCUGCCGGAGGAUCGGCGCGCGUCUGAUUAGCUAGGUGGUGAGGUAACGGCUCACCAAGGCGACGAUCAGUAGGUGGUCUGAGGGGAUGAUCCGCCACUCUGGGACUGAGACACGGUCCAGACUCCUACGGGAGGCAGCAGUGGGGAAUAUUGGACAAUGGGCGCAAGCCUGAUCCAGCCAUACCGCGUGGGUGAAGAAGGCCUUCGGGUUGUAAAGCCCUUUUGUUGGGAAAGAAAAGCAGCAGGUUAAUACCCCGCUGUUCUGACGGUACCCAAAGAAUAAGCACCGGCUAACUUCGUG